GUGGGGAAUUUUGGACAAUGGGCGAAAGCCUGAUCCAGCCAUGCCGCGUGCAGGAUGAAGGCCUUCGGGUUGUAAACUGCUUUUGUACGGAACGAAAAGACUCCUUCUAAUAAAGGGGGUCCAUGACGGUACCGUAAGAAUAAGCACCGGCUAACUACGUGCCAGCAGCCGCGGUAAUACGUAGGGUGCAAGCGUUAAUCGGAAUUACUGGGCGUAAAGCGUGCGCAGGCGGUUAUAUAAGACAGAUGUGAAAUCCCCGGGCUCAACCUGGGAACUGCAUUUGUGAAUGUAUAGCUAGAGUACGGUAGAGGGGGAUGGAAUUCCGCGUGUAGCAGUGAAAUGCGUAGAUAUGCGGAGGAACACCGAUGGCGAAGGCAAUCCCCUGGACCUGUACUGACGCUCAUGCACGAAAGCGUGGGGAGCAAACAGGAUUAGAUACCCUGGUAGUCC
rnacentral:rRNA from 1 species